rnacentral:rRNA from 1 species
GACGAACGCUGGCGGCGUGCCUAAUACAUGCAAGUUGAGCGAUGAAGAUUGGUGCUUGCACCAAUUUGAAGAGCAGCGAACGGGUGAGUAACGCGUGGGGAAUCUGCCUUUGAGCGGGGGACAACAUUUGGAAACGAAUGCUAAUACCGCAUAAUAACUUUAAACAUAAGUUUUAAGUUUGAAAGAUGCAAUUGCAUCACUCAAAGAUGAUCCCGCGUUGUAUUAGCUAGUUGGUGAGGUAAAGGCUCACCAAGGCGAUGAUACAUAGCCGACCUGAGAGGGUGAUCGGCCAAAUUGGGCCUGAGACACGGCCCAAACUCCUACGGGAGGCAGCAGUAGGGAAUCUUCGGCAAUGGACGAAAGUCUGACCGAGCAACGCCGCGUGAGUGAAGAAGGUUUUCGGAUCGUAAAACUCUGUUGGUAGAGAAGAACGUUGGUGAGAGUGGAAAGCUCAUCAAGUGACGGUAACUACCCAGAAAGGGACGGCUAACUACGUG